CGACAAUUGACUCUCGCCAACUUCGCGCAAUUCGCGGUAUCCCGCGGUACCCAGAGGCACCCGCGCACGGCGUCGGUAUGAAGUUGUCGAUGUUCGAAUCUAUCGUCGAAGAAGCACCAUAACGCAUCGGUCGUUUCGUUUUGACAGUGUUUAGUCGCGAAUGUCGUAUUAUAACAGUGAGUUUGAUGGCGUUUUCGCGAGUGUCCCCUUAUGCACGCGACGACGAUAAAGUAUAAGACGCACCAGAUUCAUUGGCAGAACAGCAACCAGAUCAUCUUCAGGGCAUCGGCACUCUGUGUUGAAUGAAUUGGGGCCCACUCCAGUUCGGUUUGAUCGCAUUUUCACGAAUGUUGCCUUGUAAAUGUGCAAUGUGCGACAAGGAGGCGCGAGACGACGGCGAAGCCUGGAAGACAUCAGGGCAUCUUCGAGAUCAUCUUCGGGGCAUCGAAAUGUUUAAUCGUGAUUACGUCUUAUUACGAUUGGUUUGAUGACGUUUUCGCGAAUGUUGCCUACGAGUGUGUGACGGGGAAGCGCGAGACGACGACGACGGAGCCUGGAAAACAUCUGCGGAUUCGUUGACAGAGCAUCUCCAAUGUCAUCUUUGGAACAUCUAUCCUGCAUCAGACUCUGUCUUACAGUCCUCCCAAAAAAAUAAAAAAUAUCAAGAACGAGCGUCAAAUAUUUUAAUAAAAUUAUUUUCACUGGAAGUGACACGUGUCUCUUGAUAAUUUGGUGCUUGAUUGUUUGCAUUGUUUCGUUUUCUUAUAGAGAUUGCCAGGUACAGUCCGACAAGGAAGCAGAGAAACUGAAAAGUGUACACACAAUUAUUACAAAAUAAAUCCAUAGACAAAA